UACGGAGGGGGCUAGCGUUGUUCGGAAUUACUGGGCGUAAAGCGCACGUAGGCGGAUUUGUAAGUCAGGGGUGAAAUCCCGGAGCUCAACCUCGGAACUGCCUUUGAUACUGCAAAUCUCGAGUCCGGAAGAGGUGAGUGGAAUUCCUAGUGUAGAGGUGAAAUUCGUAGAUAUUAGGAAGAACACCAGUGGCGAAGGCGGCUCACUGGUCCGGUACUGACGCUGAGGUGCGAAAGCGUGGGGAGCAAACAGG
rnacentral:rRNA from 1 species